CUGGUGAGGUCAGCUCUGGCGGGCUGGGCCGAUGAGAGCUGCGCUGAGAUCCAACGCCAAGAAGGAGGAUCUGUAACACUCCGCGGAGAGCAAAGGGCAUCACAAGGCGCAGAGGAUGUCAUGGUCAUCCACUGCAACCAAGGAAGGCCCUGGUUGUGACAACCACUCACACCACCAGACCCAGACUUCUGAGGCAGAGAGAGUGGAACUGUCCCAGUGCAACGGCUUUUCCACUUUAUAAACUCUCCCACACAGGUCUCCUGUCAUCGUUACAUACGACAGACAACCAACAUCUAACACGCAGCAAAGGCUCCAUUGCCUGAAAUUCCUUUGAAGCAAUUUGGCAGCAGUGAGCAGCAAUUCUGGAGCGAGACACCCUGUGAAUGAGAGAGGUGAGAGGAGAAAGGCCAGACUGGUUCAAGCUGACAGGAAGACGAACUGUCAGCUUACAACAGUGGUGUGCAGAAGAGCUUCUCUGAAUGCAAAACACGUCGAACCUUGAAAUGGAUGGGCUACAGCAGGAGAACAGCGUGAACAUACACUCAGUGACCACUUCAUGAAGAACAGCUACAACUGUGGAAGACCGUGAACGUACGUUCAUACACUAAGGAUCGAACUGGAGAGCACAGGUUUAAGGUCAUUUAAUAAAAUCACGAAGAGUAGAGAUCCCAGAAAAGAUCCCUGAGGCACACCACUGGUCACCGGCCUCCAUCCAGAAUAUGACCUGUCUACAACCACUCUUUGCCUUCUGUGGGCAAGCCAGUUCUGGAUCCACAGAGCAAUGUCCCCUUGGAUCCCAUGUCUCCUUACUUUCUCAAUAAGCCUUGCAUGGGAUACCUUAUCAAAUGCCUUGCUGAAAUCCAUCCACAUUACAUCUAGGAGAAGAUGGCAGCGCAAUGCAGCAUGCGUAGCCUCUCCGGUGAAAUGAUAUCGUAUUUGUUAAGUAGGGACCAUGCAAAAUUCUGAUUUGAUGGAGACAACCGUGAGAAGCAUGGAGGAACACCUGGAGAAACUUCUGAAAUACCCGGUUCGCUGCCGCUUCUACUGUGCAAUUGAGAAUCUCCGGAGGGAAGGCCCCAAAUCCCCGGCUUUGCCUGCUGCUGGCGACCGGGGCUGGAGUCGAAGAGCUCGGCAGAGAUGGUGCUCGGUGCUCGGUGUCGGAGGGCUGGUCGGAGGCUCAAAGUUUUCGGACGACUCAGAGUCGGACUGUGGUCGGGCAUGGCAGGGAGAGUUUUCUUCCUUCUCCCGUCUGCGUGAGAUGUGGGACUUCCGAGAGACUUUGAACUUUUUUACUGUGUCAUGGCCUGUUCUUCAUCAAGUAUGGUAUUGUUGCACUGUUGUAACUAUAUGUUGUAAUUAUGUGGUUUUUGUCAGUUUUUCAGCCUUGGGCUGUCCUGUGUUUCUGUGAUAUCACACCGGAGAAAUAUUGUAUCAUUUCUUAAUGUAUGCAUUA